AGUAUCUUGAGUAAAGUGCAGUAAAACUCGCGCAUAUAAUUACUGAAUCAGCUAAUAACAGACAAAGUGUCGACGACAUAAGUGAUUUAUUCAUGAAAAUCAGUUGGAUUCAAUAUUCAAAGUGAAGGUCUUAAGGAAUUGUCAAACAUCGGACCAGAGGCUAAGUUUAAAGGAAAGGGUUAAAGUGCUUGAUGAUGGACAACAUCAUUUCUGUUGAAGAAAGAAGAUAUUCUGCAAAUCAACAACACACAUCCAAAAUACUUCAUAAUUGGUGGAAAGGAGGCUGGCUACAUCUAUUGCCAUAAUUUGGUUCAUUUACAUGCUCUGCAAACAUCCUGAGAUUCAAGAUAAGGUUGAAUAAGAAAUCAAAGAAGCAACAAACAUGAGAAACAAAUUCAAGAUAAGCUUCAUGUAACUUGGAACAAAACUCUCGCGAGUCUAUCCUGCAUCUCAGUGUGAUAGGGAUACGGAGCUAAUCCAUGAUCUAGCAGACUGCAGACUCGU
rnacentral:lncRNA from 1 species